AUUAUUUGUUUUUAAAAAGUUAUCCUAGCAAGUUACAAAUUGCAUGAGAUAGCAACUAAGUUAAGAAUAAUUAUUAGGAGUGAAGUAGAUGGCUCGUAUAGCUGGUGUUAAUAUUCCUGUU
rfam:Francisella endosymbiont of Amblyomma maculatum strain FLE-Am contig02, whole genome shotgun sequence.